rnacentral:lncRNA from 1 species
UGCUAAAUGCUUAAAUAAGUUUUGAUAAAUUAGCAGCACUCUUUUAGGUUAUAGCGACACUCUUUAACUAUCACUAUAUACCUAGCGACCCCACAUAUAGCAACACUUUUUAAAAGUGUCGGUAAUUUUAGUUAGCAGCACUUUUUUAACAUGUACCUAUAUUUAAAAGUGUCGCUAUAGGCCGUUUUUGUUGUAGUGAAGCAUCAAAUUAAGUAUGCAAAUUUAUUGCUAUAUUUGGCUAUCGUUAGAUGAUAGUUAAAUUUUUACCAUCUAAACCAUUAUGCCUUCUUAAAAAAUUCGUUUUCCAUUUUUUUUGAAUUUACAAUUUAUAGUUUACGUAGAAUGACAUAAAAUUAGAAUAAAAAUAUCAUAAUUAAUAAAUAAUUUUAAAUUUAAUUAGAAAGAAAUUUAUUGCAAGAUAGAAUGAUUAUUUUGUAAGAAAAAAAAUAUCAACUUUAACCAAUCAACUGACAAUGCAGGAUAUAUUUAUAAAUUAUGUUACUUAAUUUGAAGGAUUUGUAUGAUAACUAAAACUUCUUUAGAUAAAUAUGCAAUUUUAUUGCUUUGCAGUGGUACAUAAGUAAUUAAUCUUAAAAAAAAUGCCCUUUAGAUCGAUUUUUUUUUUCGAGUCCGGCUACUAUAUUUAAUUUUAUGAGAUUGUGUCAUAACUGCUGCAGAAAAGACCAAAAAAACUAUAAUUUUUUAACAAAAUGAAAAAAUUCAUGAUCAAAAUUUUUGUAAAUAAAAUGUUAAUUGUUGACCGCAAUUUCGGAGCCUAAACAACUUGGAAAUACCUAAUUUGCCUAAGAUCAAAAUCCGUAUGGUAGAAAUCGUCAACACCAUCUUUUCAAUUAAAAGGAAAAAAAACAAAAAAAAAAAAAACCUCCUCUUUUGACCUUUUAAUUGCUGGGCUUUCGAGUAAAGGACACGUAGAGGAGAAGCAAAAAUGGUCCAUGAUAAGUUCCACUAUCCAUUGCAUUAGUUGUAUAACUUGAACAAUAAAGGGGGCUGAUUGAGAAUAUGCAUGUCAUGAUUAUGNGGACACAUGUUUGGGACACUUUUGAGUAAGUGUCUCAUUUAUGCUAAAACUUAAAAAAAUAUCUACUAAUGCCUAAAUAUAAAGCACAAUCCAAUCAAAAAUAAAAGAUUACUCUACUCAACCCACCACACCCCGUCCAUUUGGCCCGAUUACAAACAGAAAAGAAAAAAAAAAGAAAAAUUAAUUACCAUCUUUUCUUCUCUUUUCACUCAAUCCACUGAAAUUCUAGACGAAGAGCCUUUCCUGUCGUCCUCCUCCGCCACCGCAGCCAACGAGAUAGAGUUUCGGCGGUUGCUAAAUGCUUAAAUAAGUGUUGGUAAAUUAGCAGCACUCUUUUAGGUUAUAGCGACACUCUUUAACUGUCACUAUAUACCUAGCAACCCCACAUAUAGCAACACUUUUUAAAAGUGUCGGUAAUUUUAGCUAGCAGCACUUUUUUGACAUGUACCUACAUUUAAAAGUGUCGCUAUAGACCGUUUUUGUUGUAAUGUGAUACCAAUUGCAACGAUCCGAUCCGCUAGCAAUAAUAAUUGGGCUUAAGCAUUUUGGGCCGGUGGUUUAGGCCCAAUAAGUUAUUAUUACUAGCGGGUUGGGUCGUUGCACAUAUACGUAAAAAGACGAAAAUUUUUUUAACAACAUUCAUAUAUCUGUCCCGAAAAAGCUGAGUAAAAAUGUAAAAAUCUAAGUAAAUCAAGUUAAGAUAAAUAUGCCUUAGUUCAACCCAUAUGAAAACAUAGAUGGAAACAGUAGGCACGCAUCUACGAUGCAUUAUCCCUAUUUAUAGUCGGAGGGGGGAUAAAACCUGAACAGAGCAUGGGAUGAUGAUGAUGAGGAGUAAUCCCAUCACUGAAAGCUGUCAAAAAUUUCGGUGGCGACUGAGGAGACAGGAAAGGGAAGAGAUAAAAGGAAAGGCUACCAUGUUGACAAUGAUGAUGAGCAGGUAAUAAUCUUAUCGUUGCAGAUGUAACAGAGGGAAGUGACAACUUCCGGCGGGAAGGAAGAGAAAAAGCAUGAGCUAAGGUGUAGGGCCCUACCAUGGAUAGCAAUGAUGAGGGUAAUCCUAUCAUUUGUAUAGAUCUGCAAAAGAAAGAGGAAAAGAUUGAGAGACCAUCAUAGCAAGCGAUCGCACCAGCAACCACCAUUGAUAGAUGCCUGACAAUAGGGAUCGAUAAUGAUCACCAAAGCUAAUAGGAGCGAGGGCAAAAGGUGAGAGUGAAGGGAAGGGGGAGAGUGGGGAUGGAGAGAAAGAUGGUAGGGCUAGUGUUUUAGGGCUGCAGGAGUACGUAGCCUGUAGGGAAAGAAGGAGAGUGGAGAGGGAGAGAAAGAAUGACGAAAGAAAGAAAAGGGUAGGGCUAGGGUUUAGGGCUGCAGAAGAGGCUUGCUGGGGAGAAUAGAGGGUAGGCGCAGAGAAAUAGGGCUAUAGAAGAGGCUUGUAGAAGAUAAACGGUAGGGUCGUAGAGUUGCAAAAGCAACUUGUAGAAAAGUUAGAACAUCGUUAGAGAGGAACAGGAAACUUUAUUUUACCAAAUGACACAUGACACCGACAAACCGUCGAUUUAUGUGUUUGUAUAGAUUAUAGUAUGUUACAGCUAGUUUCUAAGAGUUAUACUCAAAAAGAAGUAGUGGAUUAUUUUGGUGU